rnacentral:lncRNA from 1 species
GAAAAGGGAAGUAGGGAAAUCAUAUCCCUAAAUUAAAUAGAAAAGUUGAUAUAGAUCCAAAUUCGUAUUGAGGAGUUGGGUUUAAUCCUCGGAUUUGGUAACUUUGAUCCAAGUCCUUUAACUUUUAUGCCACAUAGAAUUACAUUCCUUUUUUAAAAUUUUUUUAAUGUAAUAUUUUUAUUAUUUUAUUUUUAAAAUUAUUUUGUAUUCC